CUCGCUGUCCGUAGGUCCACCUGGCCACCUUCCUCAACUUGGCCAGCGUGGUGGCGGGCUCGGUGGCCUUCACCCUGGGUUUGACGGACUUCCCCUCGCCGACGUACCAGCCCUACUUCGUCGAGCACCUUUGCAAGCGGAAUAGGGAGGAUCUGCGCUACGGUUCGUGGGGCAGGAUGGCGACCACCGACCUUCCGUAUGACGGGGACUCCGAGAGGGCCCGGCAGUGCGAGGAGACGCUCUGGUCGCUGGUGCGUCUGUGGAGUUGCACCCACAUCCUCCUGCUCGUCCUACACGUCGCCGCGCUCACCAUCGCUCUCUUCUGUUUCGGAUACGGCCUCCGUCGCCUGUGGAUCUCCUGCUUGGUAGGUCCAACGGAAGGACGUGGAGUCCCCCGUCCCCCCGCGGUUGUAAACACACGACCGCGACGGGCCCUCCGGAGGGCAAGGGGGCCUCCUUCUCCGGAGACCCGUCGUGGGGAGCGGAGUUGGGGUAGGGUUUGUCGUCGGUCCCCGGUACUCCGGGAAAAAAAUUGCGCCGCGUCGUAAGAAGAGCCGGCGCCGAUCGUUCGUAGAGCUCGCUCGGCGAGCGUUCAAACCCUUUGUCGUACUCCGCCCCGACGCGGAGCACCGGGCCGAGGGGUUUCCUCCCCCCCCCCUUGCGUCCCAAAGGAAAUGGGAUCCGCUUCACCGCCGGGUGUUUACGGACUUCUCCAACGCGGCGUGGAUUCGCUUACCGUCCGGCGGAGGUGGUCAAACGGGAUCCAAACACCCCGAAACGAAAGGAACGGUGGGCUUUGAGGGGACUCGUCCAUCGUCGGAGCGAACAGACGGGCGGCGGAAGGGUUUAAGGGCCGUCGUAAGGUCGUCGUAAGGUCGUCGUAAGCUGGGCUCACUUUUGCUUGCUCCUCACAGGGAUGUUUUCAGGAUUACGCGCCCGUCGUGGACCCAGACGAGUCCAAAGAGCUGGGCAAAGAGCCGAACGUCGUCUGAGCGGGCACGGCACGAAACCUGCACACACACACACACACACACCCCCCACUCCCCGGGGGGGGGGGAACCGAACGGCGUCCCCGCGCUUCCCGCCAGCCGCUCGGAGAACUCCGAGGCUCCGUCUUGUCGCGUCUCACGCUCUCUUCCUUUUUGCACACCCAAUGAUGAAUAAAAAAAAAAGUGGCAUUUCUGGAAUUCGGAAG
rnacentral:lncRNA from 1 species